rnacentral:SRP_RNA from 1 species
GCUGGGUGUGGUGGUGGGCACCUGUAAUCCCAGCUACUCGGGAGGCUGAGGCAGGAGAAUCGCUUGAACCCAGGAGGCAGAGGUUGCAGUGAGCCAAGAUUGUGCCACUGCACACCAGCCUGGGCAACAGAGUGAGACUCUGUCUCAA